rnacentral:rRNA from 1 species
UAAGCGUCCGCUGAAU